GUCCACGCUGUAAACGAUGGAUACUAGGUGUGGGAGGUAUCGACCCCUUCCGUGCCGCAGUUAACACAAUAAGUAUCCCACCUGGGGAGUACGGCCGCAAGGUUGAAACUCAAAGGAAUUGACGGGGGCCCGGCACAAGCAGUGGAGUAUGUGGUUUAAUUCGAAGCAACGCGAAGAACCUUACCAGGGCUUGACAUGCAGUGGAAUAUGCAAGAGAUUGCAUAGCUCUUCGGAGCCGCUGUGCAGGUGGUGCAUGGUUGUCGU
rnacentral:rRNA from 1 species